AAGUUUUGAAGUUCACGUAAAAAUAAUGGAUUUCUUUUCCUUCAACCUAAUAUUUUAAAAAUAAUGAAGGUUUGGCAGCUACAAUUCGUAAUUUUCGUACAAAAUAUGGUCGGAAUAGUAAUUUAACUUCAUCAACUGCGAAGAGAUUAAUUAAAAAAUUUAGGGAAACUGUAUCAAUUAGUGAUCUUAAACAUUCUGGCCGUCCUUCAACACAAAACAUCGAAGCAGUUCGUGAGAGUGUUGCUGAUGAUCAAUUGACUCAAGAACUGCAGCCUACUUACUCCGCACAGGAAUUAAAGAUCAGUGAAUGGAUUAAGAAACCACCACAAGUGGGUGCUUUUUCGAUCCUUAGCGAUGAAGCUCAAAUUUUGAUGAUUUGCUUCAUCGAAAAAAUUAUCGCAUUUGAGAAACUCGUUCAGAAAAUCUACGAUUGAUUGUUGAGAAACAAAUGCAUCCACAACGUGUUACUGGUGCGGAUUUUGGGCUGGAGGCAUCAUUGGACCAUUCUCCUUCGAAAAUGCGGCUGAUCAGGCAAUAACAGGGUUUUUUAAAGUCUAAAGUUUAUGCCAACAAGCCCACGACACCCACGCAUUGAAGAAAUUGAGCGCUGUAUCAACGAAAUUCAGCUACAUUUAUGCAAAACGGUCAUGGAAAAUUUCAACAAAAGAGUAUGUAUGUGCCAGCAAAGCCGAGGAAACCAUUUACCUGAUAUUCUAUUCCAUAUAUAACUCUAUACUGUAUACCUUAUUUAUCAAUAAAAAAUUUACAAUUUUUAAUAAUAAA